ensembl:miRNA MIR199A2 microRNA 199a-2
CCGGCUCCGUCCACCCAGUGUUCAGACUACCUGUUCAUUAUCAUACUGGUGUACAGUAGUCUGCACAUUGGUUAGACUGGGCAUGG